rnacentral:rRNA from 1 species
AUGGGAACGCGAAGAACCUUACCUACUCUUGACAUCCAGAGAACUUAGCAGAGAUGCUUUGGUGCCUUCGGGAACUCUGAGACAGGUGCUGCAUGGCUGUCGUCAGCUCGUGUUGUGAAAUGUUGGGUUAAGUCCCGCAACGAGCGCAACCCUUAUCCUUUGUUGCCAGCGGUUAGGCCGGGAACUCAAAGGAGACUGCCAGUGAUAAACUGGAGGAAGGUGGGGAUGACGUCAAGUCAUCAUGGCCCUUACGAGUAGGGCUACACACGUGCUACAAUGGCGCAUACAAAAGAGAAGCGACCUCGCGAGAGCAAGCGGACCUCAUAAAGUGCGUCGUAGUCCGGAUUGGAGUCUGCAACUCGACUCCAUGAAGUCGGAAUCGCUAGUAAUCGUAGAUCAGAAUGCUACGGUG